ensembl:misc_RNA Metazoa_SRP Metazoan signal recognition particle RNA
GCCGGGUGUGGUGGCUCACACCUGUAAUCCCAGCAUUUUGGGAGGCCGAGGUGGGCGGAUCACUUGAGGUCAGGAGUUCGAGAGCAGCCUGGCCAACAUGGUGAAACCCCGUCUCUA